UGCCUUGAACUCAGAGAUCUGCUUGCCUCU
rnacentral:piRNA from 1 species